rnacentral:rRNA from 1 species
UGGGGAAUUUUGGUCAAUGGGCGAAAGCCUGAACCAGCAACGCCGCGUGCAGGAUGAAGGCCCUCGGGUCGUAAACUGCUGUCAGAAGGGAAGAACGGCCUCGUGGUUAAUACCCGCGAGGUGUGACGGUACCUUCAAAGGAAGCACCGGCUAACUCCGUGCCAGCAGCCGCGGUAAUACGGAGGGUGCAAGCGUUGUUCGGAAUUACUGGGCGUAAAGCGCGUGUAGGCGGCUAGGCAAGUCGGAUGUGAAAGCCCGGGGCUCAACCCCGGAACGGCAUCCGAAACUGCUUAGCUAGAGUCCCGGAGAGGAAGGCAGAAUUCCCAGUGUAGGGGUGAAAUCCGUAGAUAUUGGGAGGAAUACCGGUGGCGAAGGCGGCCUUCUGGACGGUGACUGACGCUCAGACGCGAAAGCGUGGGUAGCAAACAGGAUUAGAUACCCGUGUAGUCC